UACGGGGGGGGUAAGCGUUGUUCGGAAUUACUGGGCGUAAAGGGCGCGUAGGCGGAUAGUUUAGUCAGAGGUGAAAGCCCAGGGCUCAACCUUGGAAUUGCCUUUGAUACUGGCUAUCUUGAGUUCGGGAGAGGUGAGUGGAAUGCCGAGUGUAGAGGUGAAAUUCGUAGAUAUUCGGCGGAACACCAGUGGCGAAGGCGACUCACUGGCCCGAUACUGACGCUGAGGCGCGAAAGCGUGGGGAGCAAACAGG
rnacentral:rRNA from 1 species